GACAGAGGGUGCAAACGUUGUUCGGAAUUACUGGGCGUAAAGCGCGUGUAGGCGGCUAUGUAAGUCGGGCGUGAAAUCCCUCGGCCCAACCGAGGAACUGCGCCCGAGACUGCUUCUCUUGAGUCCCGGAGAGGAAGAUGGAAUUCCCGGUGUAGCGGUGAAAUGUGUAGAGAUCGGGAGGAACACCGGUGGCGAAGGCGGUCUUCUGGACGGUGACUGACGCUGAGGCGCGAAAGCGUGGGGAGCAAACGGG
rnacentral:rRNA from 1 species